GACGAACGCUGGCGGCGUGCUUAACACAUGCAAGUCGAACGGAAAGGCCCUGCUUUCGUGGUGUUCUCGUGUGGAACACGGGUGUGAAACACGUGAGUUCCCCGCCCCUGACUUUGGGAUGACUUCAGGAAACGGGGGAUAAUCCCGGAUAGGCGCUCCUUCUGCUUGGGGGGGGUAGGAUAUUUUCGGCGGGUGGGGGUGGACUGCCGGCUUGUCAGCUGGUUGGGGGGGGAGUGGCUUACCAAGGCUUUGGUGGGUGGCCGGCCUGGGUGGUUGACCGGCCACAUUGGGACUGGGAAACGGCCCAGACUCCUACGGGAGGAAGCAGGGGGGAAUAUUGCACAUUGGGCGGAAGCUGGUGGCAGCAACGCCGCGUGCGGGAUGACGGCUUUCGGUUGGUAAACCGCUUUCGCCGGUGACGAAGCGUGAGUGACGGUAAUUAGUAAAGAAGCACCGGCUAACUACGUG
rnacentral:rRNA from 1 species